CCUGCGGAAGGAUCAUUAAUGAAUUCACUAUGGAGUUGUUGCUGGCCUCUAGGGGCAUGUGCACGCUUCACUAGUCUUUCAACCACCUGUGAACUUUUGAUAGAUCUGUGAAGUCGUCUUUCAAGUCGUCAGACUUGGUUUGCUGGGAUUAAACGUCUCGGUGUGACAACGCAGUCUAUUUACUUAACACACCCCAAAUGUAUGUCUACGAAUGUCAUUUAAUGGGCCUUGUGCCUAUAAACCAUAAUACAACUUUCAACAACGGAUCUCUUGGCUCUCGCAUCGAUGAAGAACGCAGCGAAAUGCGAUAAGUAAUGUGAAUUGCAGAAUUCAGUGAAUCAUCGAAUCUUUGAACGCACCUUGCGCCCCUUGGUAUUCCGAGGGGCAUGCCUGUUUGAGUGUCAUUAAAUUCUCAAACUCACUUUGGUUUUUUUCCAAUUGUGAUGUUUGGAUUGUUGGGGGCUGCUGGCCUUGACAGGUCGGCUCCUCUUAAAUGCAUUAGCAGGACUUCUCAUUGCCUCUGCGCAUGAUGUGAUAAUUAUCACUCAUCAAUAGCACGCAUGAAUAGAGUCCAGCUCUCUAAUCGUCCGCAAGGACAAUUUGACAAUUUGACCUC
rnacentral:rRNA from 1 species